rnacentral:rRNA from 1 species
CAGUCUCAGUUCGGAUUGAAGGCUGAAAUUCGCCUUCAUGAAGCCGGAAUUGCUAGUAAUGGCAGGUCAGCAUACUGCCGUGAAUACGUUCCCGGGCCUUGUACACACCGCCCGUCACACCAUGAGAGUUGGGGAUACCCGAAGCCUGUGAGCUAACAGUAAUGAAGCAGCAGUCGAAGGUAGAAUCAAUGAUUGGGGUGAAGUCGUAACAAGGUAAC